GUGGAUUAGAUACCCUGGUAGUCCACGCUGUAAACGGUGGGUACUAGGUGUGGGGUCCAUUCCACGGGUUCCGUGCCGUAGCUAACGCUUUAAGUACCCCGCCUGGGGAGUACGGCCGCAAGGCUAAAACUCAAAGGAAUUGACGGGGCCCCGCACAAGCGGCGGAGCAUGCGGAUUAAUUCGAUGCAACGCGUAGAACCUUACCUGGGUUUGACAUGGAUCGGGAGUGCUCAGAGAUGGGUGUGCCUCUUUUGGGGUCGGUUCACAGGUGGUGCACGGCUGUCGUCAGCU
rnacentral:rRNA from 1 species